AUUGGCCGAUACGAAGCUAUGUAUUUGUUACAUUAAAUAUGUAGUCAACAUCCUGGCCUAUACAAUAAUGGUUUCAACGGUCGCGAUUUAGGCUCUGUGCCUCUGUGGCAUCACCCAAUGUAACCGAUAUCCUU
rnacentral:snoRNA from 1 species